CUUCCAUGAUGACAUGGUGAUGAGUCAAAAAGGUCAUGUCCUGCUCUUGGUCCUUGUCAGUGCCAUGUUCUGGGGUGCUGAGUAUUGUCACCUUUAGCAAAAGUGCCUAUUCUUUGAUUGAGUUAGAGGCAUUUGUCUGAGAAGG
ensembl:snoRNA SNORD15 Small nucleolar RNA SNORD15